rnacentral:rRNA from 1 species
GACGAACGCUGGCGGCGUGCCUAACACAUGCAAGUCGAACGAGACCUUCGGGUCUAGUGGCGCACGGGGAGGGACGACGGGGGGACCAGCACUUGGGUUCGGAGUAACUGCCCGUAAGGGGAGCUAAUGAAGGAGAGGGUAUUAGGGCAAAAGAUGUAUCGCUGUUGGAUGGGGCCGCGUUGGAUUAGCUGGUUGGUAGGGUAAAAGCCUACCAAGGCGACGAUCCAUAGCUGGUCUGAGAGGAUGAUCAGCCACACUGGGACUGAGACACGGCCCAGACUGCGACGGGAGGCAGCAGUGGGGAGUAUUGGACAAGGGGCGAAAGCCUGGUCCAGCAAUGCCGCGUGAGUGAUGAAGGCCUUAGGGUUGUAAAGCUCUUUGACCCGGGAUGAUAAUGACAGUACCGGGUGAAGAAGCACCGGCUAACUCCGUG